rnacentral:rRNA from 1 species
UCCUACGGGAGGCAGCAGUGGGGAUUUUGCGCAUGGGCGAAAGCCUGACGCAGCAACGCCGCGUGAGUGAUGAAGGCUUUCGGGUCGUAAAGCUCUGUCGAGGGGAAAGAAGUGUAUUAUGGCUAAUACCCAUGAUACUUGACGGUACCCCUAAAGGAAGCACCGGCUAACUCCGUGCCAGCAGCCGCGGUAAUA